rnacentral:lncRNA from 1 species
GGUAGAUGGGAGGAUGGAUGGCAGGCUGCAGUGGUCCCUGGUCCAGGCACAGCCUCAGGAAGCACUGUCUGGGAGCAAAGGAGCAGCACUGUGAGCCUUGCUCACCAACCACCUUUUUAUAUUGCACAGAGCUCUGAAUGAUGGGGCAGAAAUUGUUCAGUGAAGAGAGAGCGAAGAAGGCACUUGGAUAUCACUGAGACAGCUGCUUUCAAGAGAAGAGUAAUUUGUCUAAUACACAAUCUGUCACCCUCCAUUCGUGCUGGAAAAGUGAGGAGCUGCUGGAAACUAACCACACAUAUGGUGACAUUGCUCCAUCAUUAGCUUGGGGCUCUCCCUACAGCAACAGAAAUUUUAUGGUGGCUCUCCCAAAGAUGCCUGAGGACCACUGCAUAAAUAUUAAUGGGAAAGGGGGGUCUGGGUCCUCCUGACAGCACUGAAAUACUCAACCCCACUGGACAGAGGCUCAUGCACAGCAGUUUUGAGUUUUAUAAACUGCUCCUGGCAAAGGGAACCAACUCUCCUGCCAGCUCUGACAAGAGAGAUUGACAGGGCUCCUGCACAAAGCAAGAAGGACAGAUGAAGGAGAGGAGAAAGCAAAGGUGAGGAACAAACCUGGUCUUUGAUUUGGGUGUUUGCCAUGUCAAAGCAAGGUCCCAUUUUGCACACCAUUUUUUCUAGGAGUAUCCUGGGCACCUGCUUAGGGGUUUGCAGCUGGGGUACAAUGCACUGUAAACCCUCCCUAGCAGCUUUGGAGGAGUGUGGGUUUGUCUAUUGCCUGCUUUAACAAGCCUUUGAUCUUCCUGAAACUCCAAAUGGGAUCCAAUUGCAGCCAUAAUCAUAAAUAAGUGAAAAAUAUAAAAUAGGUAACAA